rnacentral:rRNA from 1 species
GACGAACGCUGGCGGCGUGCUUAACACAUGCAAGUCGAGCGGUAAGGCUCCUUCGGGAGUACACGAGCGGCGAACGGGUGAGUAACACGUGAGUAACCUGCCCCAUUCAUCGGAAUAACCAGUGGAAACGCUGGCUAAUGCCGAAUACGACCACCGAAGGCAUCUUCUGGUGGUGGAAAGCUCCGGCGGAGUGGGAUGGACUCGCGGCCUAUCAGCUUGUUGGUGAGGUAACGGCUCACCAAGGCGACGACGGGUAGCCGGCCUGAGAGGGUGACCGGCCACACGGGGGGUGAGAGACGGCCCAGACUCCUACGGGAGGCAGCAGUGGGGAAUAUGGGAGAAUGGGCGAAAGCCUGAUCCAGCAACGCCGCGGGGGGGAUGACGGCCUUCGGGUUGUAAACCUCUUUCAGCAGGGACGAAGCGAAAGGGACGGUACCUGCAGAAGAAGGAACGGCCAACGACGUG